GUGAGGGUUGCGCGUCAAUUAUUCCGCCAUCCGUUUGCAGCUUUUGGCAAAAGGAGUUGGUCGGAAUUGGAAAGCCGAGACGACUCGUCUCCUUUGACCUCCCCAGUUGCCUUCCUGCGCCUUCGUUUCCGAUUGCUUUCUCCCCUACUCAAUUUCUGCGUCUAUUUCCCUUUUCGUCGCUCGAAUUCAAGUUCAUCUUCACCUUUUUCAUGGUUUCAUGUUUACUGUACCCUGUUAUCGCCAUUGCUUCCGCAGCCAUGCUCUGCUUUCUUUGACUGAAAAUGCCCCCUCCCACUUCGCCACGAAACCUCUGCACACCAUUACUACAUACGCCUCAUCUGCUCUAUUUUCCUCUUAUUUAAAUCAAUAACUUAUUACUACCUUCACAAACCCCCGUUUCAUCGUCCCUGAUGUAUCCAACCUGGACUUGAAUCAAUCUAGCAGCUUUUCUUUUUCCUGAUUUUUGUUGUGGGGAGGUGAAAAUCUGUUACAAAACAUCUACUCAACCGUAAAUUUUAUUGGACAACGUGAACAAAAACGUUUUUUUCUUCGAAAUUCAGAUUGUGUUAUUGUGAUUGUCUCAGGUUUCAUCGGUACGUUGUUUUAUAGGACUUGGAAUCUUGACUGGCGAUCGAUAAUCCAACUCUAUAUGCUUACUAAUGUCGAAUUAGGGCUUCAUUUCAGUUUCAUGAAUCGUUAAGUCCUGAUUUUAUUUGAUACAUCGUUAACUGCGAGGAUGGGUUUAACAUUGUACCGUCUUAGGCUGCCGCAUGUUCUAGAGGUUCAUUUUCAAAAUCACUUUGUAUUUUAUAUUGUUCAUUAGGUCCCGACCUACCUUGUAAUUAUUUCAUCCGACCUAUUUAAAUUCUAAACUUAUUGUUUUAUUCUUGUGCAAUUACUUCUCGUGUCUAACUGACAUUAUUGGGUGCAAUUUGUUUUACCCUUUACGAGAAAUUCAAGUGCUUUCACUUUAGUGAAAAGUGAUUAUUCAUGGAGAUUAGAGCCAAGACAACACCCACGUGGAUAUUGGAAUUGUCUCUUGGGAUGCUGUCAUGUAACCCACAAGUAAUAUUACUCUUUACAAUUUCCUUUAGUGUUCACUUCUGUAAUAUUUCUUGGAAAGAGAUAUGCCUCGGGUCAAUAAAUGCACUUAAUCAUAAACUUCUAUCCUAUUUGGCUCCUUGUAUUCUAGAAGUUUUUAGAGCCAUUAGACCAGUCGUGCAUUCUAUCCUUCUGAACUUUAAUCAAACUAAACUAAAACCGAACUGUUUGAGGGGUUAAUUUUAGCUGCUUUAUAUCUUGAAUCUUCCAAUGCAAAGAGAGUCCGCAAGACAGUUUCAUGCGUUCCUUUCUUUUAAAAUUAUCUUUUUUCGACAAAGAUCUCUCGUGCCAACAUAUGGAUAGGGUUAAUAUUGCACAGGUUAAGCUAUAUUAAUAAAUGGAGUCACAAGAUCAGUAGUGUGGCAAAGGAUAUGGUCAUGUAGAACUAUAAUGUGUUGGUGACUUGAAGAUGUAAUCAGUUAAAAUUCAGGUUCCCAUGAGAUUGAAAAAAACAGAUUGAGAAGAAUGGGGGUGAUUUAGGACGUUAAUUACUUGCUUCCAUCCAUCGGACUCGCGAGAAGUGGUUCCUGAAUCUGCUUCUCCUCGGUUUUAAACAACUCGUGCUUCUUGGAAAACCAAAAAGAAAAGCAAAUGAUAAGUGGCUGAUGAACUCAUUCUUGUUUUACCUUUCUUUUGAAGCCACUUCGAACUCUUGUCUUUUCUUGGUCACCUUUAAGGACUCUAAAAAUGUCGAUAGGAGUUACUGAUUUAAGAUCUGUUUGUAUCUACCCUUCUAAACUUCUAGGGAUAUAGCAUACGAAGAAUUUGAAGGACAAACCAGUUCAUAUGAUCCUAGAAAGAAGGAGGUAAUGGCGCAUGAACUAUGAAAUGGCACAUGUGCAAGUUCAGACAGAAAUUUUUUAGUCCUGAAGGACCUUCACCUGCCAUUACUGGUCAAGCUGGGUGACGUGCAAAUUGGUUUGUUGAAGUAAAUGUGAAGUUCGGAUGAAUUCUCAGUAUCAUUAACAUGUUUGUUGAGAUAUUUGCGAUUUCCUUGAUUUCUUAGUUUAUUCUUUUUACUUUUAAAUCUGACCUGCCAGCUUUUUCGAUCUGCGACUUUUACAUCGUUUCCUUGAGGCACAUAGCGAGUCAAAGUGAUGAUGAACGGAGGUUCAAUUUUGGCAUAUAGACUUUUUGACUUCCAUUGUUCCACAUUCUUAUCUGGACCUGAAGUUCAAGUUUUGAGUCAUGGUUCCAGUCUCAUGUAAACAGAUAACUAACUCCUUUGUUUUAGUUUUCUGUAACUUGAUUGGCACCAUUAUUAUGUACAUACUACAGGAUUGGAAUUCAUCUUUUAGUCUUUUAGGCUGCCGCUUAUUUAUUGAAACUCUUGAUAUACUUUUUUAUUGGCUAGAUAUUUGUAGUUUCGUGCCACAGACAGAUGAUGGCUGUAUGGGUGCCCAUUUUUGUAGUAGUGAGAACAGAAUAGUAAGUGCGACUUUGAUUAAAAUUAUUUCAUGAGUAAAAUAAACCGACAUAUUGCAUAUAUGAUUUCUAGUUUUCCACAUAGCUUUGGCUAGAACAUCAAUCUUUUAGAAAUCAAGAAAAGACGGUACAACUCGUCCCUUCCAAAUUAGUUCAUGUUUUUAUGAUGUGAUCAUUAAAAUUUUCUUGUGUUUGCAAAGACACGGAGGGAUGUGGUUUUUCUUCAACAAACAAUAUGUUGACUUAUCUCUUCGAGGUAACUAUUUUUGCUAAUUGCGAGAAAUUGAGGAUAAUGAACAUCAGAAGGUUAGGUAUUAGAAUGCACUUUUUUGUUAUUCCAUUCUUUAGUUUUCGCUAAAAAAAUUCGGAUCUUUUAUGGUAUAAUCCAAAAUACUACCUAUUAUAUGCAUCAUUUUUCUAAUUCUUGCAUAAAAUAUUUGGUGUAUAAAAGAAUCUCAAUAUGCUUUUGUGAAUUAUAGUUUUAGACUUCUUUAUAAGUUUCCACCACGGAGCAGCCCGAUGGUUUCAAUUUCUCAUAACUUAAUACCAGGUUAACAGAGUUGACUCGUUGCCACUGCUACGUUUAUUCAUAAUCCUCCUCGUUUAUGAGAAUGUUUCUGGUACAAGAGUAAAUAUAUACUUGUAGUUACAUAGAGGCAAACUUAUGAGUUGAAUUAGGCCUAGAGAUGAGUAUACCUAACCUAUUGAUUUGAAUAAUGGCAUUAGCUGAACUAACCCCACCCAACCCAAUCAAUUAAGUUGAGGUUGAAUGAAGUCAAGCUAAAGACAAGAGUUGAUGAACCAACCUGACUUUGUUAGACUCUGGCCCAAACCAUUUAAUGAGUUGUAUUCAUCGUGUACUUUUUGGGUCAUUAUGGCCAACAUUGAGGGUUGUUUGGCUUUUCAAAUGCUUAUUGAAAAAUCAUUCCAAACAGGUGUUAAGGCACAUACGCACUGGCAGUCUCUCCUUUCCACAUGUCAACUCAAGUGUUGUAGCAGCGUAGGAAAACCCCAUAACUUAAGUUUUGAUGCAUUUUAAUUAAUCUAAACUUCUGUGAGGGUGUUGCAGGUAUUGAAAAUACUGUGUUGUACUUGCACAGGGCUGAGAUGAUGUAUGAUGUAUUGGUGCAAGAAAUAUCAAUAUGGAUUUAACAGUGUUAUCAGCCAGCCAUCAGUUCAGGAAAUUGAAAUGGGGGCCAGCGGAAGAAUUGUGCCUUAUGUGGAAUUGAUAGAAACGUUACCCCUCCGGCUCCCAAAAAUUUAUUGGAAUUGCGAACGCCAAACUAUUUUUAACGCUGAUAAAUCAAGACUUGUCUUAUUAUUGCUGAGAUUUGUAAUUAAAUUCCUUCAAUUUUAAAAAUCAAGUAAACUUAGGAUGGGAGAAUUUGAACCCAACACCUUAUGUCCUCGAAAAUAUAUAAGCUCAUGUUGGCAAAUUCUUACUCUCACCUAUCGUUGAAUUGAAUCCUUGAAGUAGAAAAAUUAUUUUCAAAUAAAAGUGCGGGCAAGAGACUUAAUUAUGGAUGACUAA